UUAGUACUAAGUAUGACCAGGGCCGGAUCUACCAUAUGGCUAUUUGGGCUUAAGCCCAGGGCCCCAUGAGUUCAAGGGCCUCCACAGCCCAGCUACGUCAAGUCAAAAAUAGACGAUAAUGCGAAAUAAUUCAUAAUUUUAUUAAUUUUUUGUUGGUAUCCCUGAGAAUCCUACGGUCAAGGUUUAUUAU